AUCUCUAAUAUUCUUUGGUCUGAAAACUGGCAGCAGCUGGUGAUCCAGAGGUCUCAUGGCAGAAUGAAGGAAUUUACCAAAGCCAAGCCCUUUGACUCUGGGCCUAUCUAUUUCUUUGAUCAGUUGAAACCUGAACGGAAAGAUGGGAAAAGAUAACCUGUGAAGAAAGUUAUCCCACCCAAAAUGCACCUCAAGAGCUAAGUGUUGGAUCUUUCAACAUCCUUACUCAAAAUGGGAAAUUCUGAAGUGGAAGACAGUCCCCAGUAUAGCUGUGAAGAGACUACAAGUAGCCAUAAUUCAAAUCAAAAUAGAAGAAGCAAAGCAAAAAAAAGAGGGCGUCAACAAACAACUUAUCCGGCGCCGCUAUGAGGACCUGGAAGGCGUGGAGGAGAGCAGGGAUCAGCAGUGCUCACAGAGUUUCUGGCUGGAGCUGCUGGAGAAGAAGCCUCAGAUGCCAAUUGUCAAAAAGGCUGACCCCAACAUGAAAAAAUUCCAUUACGCUCUGGUGGAUGGCUCCUCUCUGACCUACUAUCCUUCUGGGCACCUAGCUGUCUGUCAGAGCUAUUCUGACCUCCCUUCAGGUGGUGUGUACACCAGCGUAUUCAGUGACUUGCCAAAUCCAGUUAUCCUUGGAACCUUUACACCUUUUGGAUGUGGCAGCAUUUCUUUUCCUAAGAGACAAACAGUAGCAGUGAUGUUUAAUUAGGAAGGAGGCCUGGUGAUCAGCAGAAAAGGAAACAUCAUAAGGGAAUGGACCUGGCCUUCAAAAGGAAAACUUGAUAAUCCAGUGGAAAUUUGGGAUUAAUUCAAACACUUCUGAGCUGCCAGUCUGAAACUGUGUCCGGAAUUGGUGGAUUCUUGGUCUCACUGACUUCAAGAAUGAAGCCGCGGACCCUCGCAGGUUCCUUUUCCCAUUGAAAGCAAGGAUACCUGGUUUGCUUCCCAGCUGGUUUGUCCCAUGGUCCUAAGGAGAACACUGUGCAGGGACACAGGGCACACGUGCCAAUGUAGCUCUCACAGCAUCCUGAAAGUGACAGACCUGGAGUAUGAUCACCUUAGAAGCAGCCAGAUGUCCUCUGCGGACCAGGUCAUCAUAGUCUAUGUCUUCUCCUUCAAGCAAAAGGACAAGACUAUCAAAGAAGUGGCCAAAGUAUAUAGGGAGCUAUAUACUUUUUUUUUUUCUGUUGGCUUCUCAACACACUUUUUUUUUUAACUGAGAUAUGACAUUCGUAUAAUAAAGAUCACAAAUCUUAAGGG
ensembl:lncRNA novel transcript